CAAUAGCAGCCAUGGUGUGCUCUGACUUUCCCAUUAUCCACUUCAGCAGCUCCCACAGAGGCCACAUCGGUCGUCCUGGUUCCCCCAUCAGUUCGCCAAACGCCACAGGAAGCUGAAACCAGACAUGAACACGACAGCCACUGACCUGAGCUUCCUCCCGGUAUCCUCCCCAGGUCGUACGGGUUGUUGGUGAUGCCUCUCAGGUGGUUGUGGGACUCGCACCACAUGCACAGCUCGCUGGUGUUGGUGACGCCCAGCGGGAUGGCCCCGGCUCUCUUCAGGAGGGCCACAGGUGGAGCGUCCACGGUGGACACGAGUCUUCGCCUGCUGACCAGACCUGUGGCGUUGGGCAUGCCUGCAAGACGGACAUGUGUCAAUUGCGGUAUGGAACGAAACACAUGCUUUGUCCUCUCAUUCUAUGUGAUUUAAAUAAAAUCACGUCAUUUCCCUUUUUGAAUUUAAACGUCCUGUCCUGCCACCUACAUGUUCGACCCCAGACUCCGCCCCUCGCCUGAAUUGACCUGCUGAUGUGAACAUGUCUGACCCGGACAGUCUCCUGCUGCAUUUUCACAUGUGAAGCCAAAGUUUGGACAUUUCCAAGAGUUCAAGUCUGAAAAACAGCCUAAGAAGCUGUUAAGUGUCCCGUGAGUGAGAGUCUGUUUGUUCCAUGUGAGUGGGUGUGGGUGGAUAAAUGAAAUCAGUCCUGGUGCAUAUUCAAAAAUAGUAGGCUAUCAGAGAAUAGCCUGGUUUCAAGUAGCUGACAGGAGAUUGGAUUUCUGGAAGUGUUACCCUGGAGGGCGAAGGACUCUUUGACGGAGAGCGGGACUCCCAGUAGAGGCAGCCGGUCCUCCAGCACCUCCUCUCCUCCGGUCUCCUCCUCGAUCAGCUUAUCAACCUGGGCUGCCUCCUGGAGCGCGGCGGCGAACCUGGACACGGAGGGAAAUAAACUUGAUGUUGAAUUUCUGAUUUAAAAGAUGAGGAUGAUGAAGAGUCAGAUGACGAUGAAGACUGGGUCUGUCUUGCCUGUCUUUAACCACAGCGUUCAGGAAGGGGUUGACUUCCUGGAUCCUGUCGAUGUAAGCCUGCACCACCUCCACACUGGACACCUGCAGACACACAACAAGUUAGCUUCUUAAUAUAUAUACAUAAAAUAUAUAAAAAUACUUUAUAUAGUGUCCACUUUAAACAGCAUAUAUGGAUAGAGGGAUAUCGUGAUAUUAUAUAUAAGGAGCACAGGUGUGUAGUUGUUGAUCCGCAGGUGUAAGAGUAAUUAACUUUAAGGGUUUGUAGACUUAUGAUAGUCUAAUAUAGAUCUAUAA